rnacentral:ncRNA from 1 species
UUAUUGGAGAGUUUGAUCCUGGCUCAGGAUGAACGCUGGCGGCGUGCCUAAUACAUGCAAGUCGAGCGAAUGACGAGGAGCUUGCUCCUCUGAUUUAGCGGCGGACGGGUGAGUAACACGUGGGUAACCUGCCUGUAAGACGGGGAUAACUCCGGGAAACCGGAGCUAAUACCGGAUGAUA